rnacentral:lncRNA from 1 species
CAUCUCUUUAAACAGGCAGUAAACACUUGGAGAAUAGGAGCUCUGUCACAUGUUUCUUUAUAAUCUCAAAUAUUCUUAUAAAGUACAAAGCUCAAGAAAUGAACUCAGAUUGAAAUGUAAGUUCUACUUUCUUCCCAUAUAUGCUUCCCAUAUACUACCCUCUUUCUUUUAUAAUCUUAUGGUUUUAUUCAUGAAUUUGAGCACUCA